AUGAACCCCAGGUAUUUACCCCAGGCAACGUCGCCACUUCACCAUGAUGAUGGACAACAGGCAACUUUUUUUCUGGAGUUUCAGCUUGCUUCCAACAGGAAAGCUUCAACUUUUGCUGUUUCCUGGGACCUGCACUGCGUUUUGUCAAUCUACUACUUCCCUCCUUCUGUUUUCCCAAGUCAGUUGAGAAGGUUUCCACGACAGCAACAGAGGUCAUCACAAUGGCAAGGAGAGGAAAGGGGAAGGGAAAGUCCCCCACUCCUCUCCCUCUGCUCCAGCUACUGCCUCCACCAUCUCGGCAGCACAGUUUCCCCAAUUUCUCCAUCCCCAACUCUGCCCUACUCCUGAUUACACAUUCUUUACUUCAAUCUCUAAGAAAACACCUUGUAGACUCACUAAAUCAGGAUUUCCUUUGACAUCUAGAGAAAUAUUAUACCAGUUAGGAGUCUCCAGAGAAAUAGAACCAAUAGGGUAAGUGUAGACGUACAGAAAUUGAUUUAUUGUGCAGGCCUGGCUCAUGUGAUUAUGGGGAAUGAGAAGUCCCAAGAUCUUCAGUCUGCAAGCUGAAAACCAGGAGAGCAGCUGGUACAGUGACAGUCUGAGAUCCAAGGGCCGAGAACCAGGAGCUCCGAUGUCUGAGGGAAAGAGAAACUGGAUGUCCCACUUCAAACAGAGAGAGUUAAUUCACCCUUGCUUUGCCUUUUUGUUCUAUCUAUACCUUGAAUGGACUAUACAAUGAUCACCCACACUGGUGGGUGGUCUAUACUUAGUCUAUGAUUCAAGGGCUAAUCCCUUCUGGAAACACCCUCACACACACCCAGAAUAAUGUUUCACCUGCUAUCCGGGCAUUCCUUAGCCCUGUCACGUUGAUACAUAAAAUUAACCAACAGAAAUAUUGUUUCAGAUGUUAUUUUUACAUUUCAUGUUCUAAUAGACCUACUAGUCUCACAUAUGUCUGCCCCACCUUUCUCAGAAGGGGAAAUAGGGAAAAGAAAGGAGAAAGAAACAGCUAACAUAAAAUGCUUAUCAAAAACACAAGCUUCAAAGGCCCUUAUGUGUGGUCCCGAAACAAAACCUAAGAGAUUGCCACGCCCUGGUUUCCUGUGAGAGCGGUAGUCAGCUCUGGCUCUGGGGAGGCCAGAAGCACAGUCAAGGGGCUGGCCGGAAGCUGUGUCCAUGACAACUCACUGUCCUACCAAAAUGUGACGUUUCAAGGUACAAGGAAAACAUGGAAGAGAAUAUCAGAAAUUUAAACUGACCUGCAUUCGGGUGCUAUCUUGAAAAUAAAAUUGCUACACAUAAUGUGAUUUUGAUGCA
rnacentral:lncRNA from 13 species